UCCUCUUUUAUACCCUUUCAUUUUUUAUUUCCCUUUCUCACUCAAUCUCAAGAACCCUAGUGUCGAUUUUCAAAUUUUCAAAAAUCCCAAUUCAAUAGAAGGGACGGAACCCUCUUCACUGCUUCAUAUGAACCCUAAAACCUUUUUCCUCAAAUUCGGUGAACGGUUCACCACUUCACAAAGAUCACUCAAUCAAAGGUCNNNUAGGGUUUUCGUUCAACCAAAUCCCUUUUGUUUUUAUCCAAAAAACAUGUCGCUGAAUCCAUCGUCAAAUCAUCCACCUAUCGCUAUCUCCUUCUUCAAUUUCUCCAUGCCAACUAACGAUGGGUUCAACAACGACGAUGCCGAACAACCGUUUCAGAUCUAAGGUGACAAAAGCUCCAGGUAUCAAAUACCAGAUGUUCUUCUCAGAUAUGGAUUUGAUUUUCUAUUUUGAUUUCUCAAACACCUUACCGAACAACAACGACAUCAUACGUAAGUGAAUUUGACCAAUUU
rnacentral:lncRNA from 1 species